UACGUAGGGUGCGAGCGUUGUCCGGAAUUACUGGGCGUAAGGAGUUCGUAGGCGGUUUGUCGCGUCGUUCGUGAAAACUUGGGGCUUAACUCCAAGCGUGCGGGCGAUACGGGCAGACUUGAGUACUACAGGGGAGACUGGAAUUCCUGGUGUAGCGGUGAAAUGCGCAGAUAUCAGGAGGAACACCGGUGGCGAAGGCGGGUCUCUGGGUAGUAACUGACGCUGAGACGCGAAAGCGUGGGGAGCGAACAGG
rnacentral:rRNA from 1 species